UGCAUAAUGGUAAAAUUAAAAGUUUAAAAUAUUUAAUUUCCCGAAAAUAAGAAGAGUAAAAUUAUAAAUCAUUUAGUGGUAAAUAUAUAAUAUAGCAAAUAUUAUAAUAAUAUUAUAAUUAGGGGUGGAAAGGCUUUCAAUUUUUAUUAUAUCUGGAUAAAAAUUAAAUGUAUUUAGUACAUAGGACAUUUUUAGAGUGGUAAGAUUUAAAUAAAAAAAUACUUUAAUUUAUAAAUAUAAUACAAUUUAUAGGUUAAGUUCUUUAGAUUUUUAAAUUAAUAUUAAAUUUUAAUGUGGUUUUUAAAAAAUUUUUAUGGAAAAAAAAUUAUGUAGGUUUCUAUAUAUUGUUUAAAUUAGUAAAAUUUUUAAUUUAUAAAAAGGAACUCGGCUACUAUUUGCUCUUCAACUGUUUACCAAAAACAUAGCUUUAUGAUAAUAUAUAAGGUUUUUUCUGCCCAGUGAUUUUUUUUUAACGGCCGCAGUACUCUGACUGUGCUAAGGUAGCAUAAUAAAUUGGCUUUUAAUUGAAGUCUAGAAUGAAAGGAGAUAUGAGGAGAAACUGUCUUUUUAUAAUUUUGUUAAAUUUACUUAAAAGGUGAAAAUUCCUUUUUUUAUAUAUUAGACAAGAAGACCCUUAGAGUUUAAAUUUUUGUUGGGGCGACAAAGUAGCAAAAAAACCUACUUUAUAUACAUGUCGAAUAAUUUUAGGAAAGAAUAAACUACCUAAGGGAUACAGCUUAAUUUUUUUUUUGUUUGGACCUCGAUGUUGGAUUAGGAAAAUUUUUUACUAGACGUAAAUUAUUUAAGUUCUGUUCAACUUUAUUUCUUCAUGAUCUGAUUCAACCGGCGUAGCCAGGUCAAUUCAAUCUUUCUUUUCUUUUUA
rnacentral:rRNA from 1 species